CCCCCACUCAUGUGUGUAGGACCCUAAAGGACCACCAUUAACGUUGGCACAGAUCUCUAAAAAAGUUAUCACAUGGGUGUGGGACUUGACUUUUCUAGAGAUCCGUACCAACUUUAAUGGUGAUCUUUUGGGGGUCCUACACACAUGGGUGGGAG
rnacentral:pre_miRNA from 1 species